rnacentral:rRNA from 1 species
GAUGAACGCUGGCGGCGUGCCUAAUACAUGCAAGUCGAGCGAACAGAUGAGGAGCUUGCUCCUCUGACGUUAGCGGCGGACGGGUGAGUAACACGUGGAUAACCUACCUAUAAGACUGGGAUAACUUCGGGAAACCGGAGCUAAUACCGGAUAAUAUAUUGAACCGCAUGGUUCAAUAGUGAAAGACGGUUUUGCUGUCACUUAUAGAUGGAUCCGCGCCGCAUUAGCUAGUUGGUAAGGUAACGGCUUACCAAGGCAACGAUGCGUAGCCGACCUGAGAGGGUGAUCGGCCACACUGGAACUGAGACACGGUCCAGACGCCUACGGGAGGCAGCAGUAGGGAAUCUUCCGCAAUGGGCGAAAGCCUGACGGAGCAACGCCGCGUGAGUGAUGAAGGUCUUCGGAUCGUAAAACGCUGUUAUUAGGGAAGAACAAAUGUGUAAGUAACUAUGCACGUCUUGACGGUACCUAAUCAGAAAGCCACGGCUAACUACGUG